AGGUCAACAAGUGAAGAAAAAGAGUGAGAAAAGCUACGGUUUCAUUUUUUGGAGAAUGUACGCUACUCUUCAACCCUGCUAAAUCUUCUCCAUUCAGUACCAGAAGAGAGAAGAAGAGACUUGAACGAUUAACAACAGAAUCCAUUUAGCAGCAAUAUUUCUUAGAAGAGAAGUUAAGGGGAAAUGGCGACAGCCGGUAUUUACAGGAGAGUCCUUCCCUCUCCUCCUGCUAUCGAGUUCGCUUCACCUCAAGGCAAGCAACUCUUCAGAGAAGCUUUAGAAGAAGGAAGCAUGGAAGGUUUUUUCAAAUUGAUAUCCUACUUCCAAACGCAAUCAGAGCCUGCGUUUUGUGGCCUUGCCACUCUAGCCAUGGUCUUGAAUGCCCUCAGUAUCGAUCCUGGAAGGAAAUGGAAAGGGCCUUGGAGAUGGUUUGAUGAUACCAUGUUGGAUUGCUGUGAGCCUCUGUCUAAGGUUAAAAGUAAAGGUAUCACAUUUGGGAAAGUUGCAUGUUUGGCUCAUUGCAACGGAGCUAAAGUUAAAGCUUUUCGGACAAAUGAAUGCACAGUUAAUGAUUUUCGCGACCAAGUGAUUUCUUGUGCUUCUUCAGAGGACUGCCAUGUGAUUGUCUCAUACCAUAGAGCCGUAUUUAAGCAGACUGGAACUGGUCAUUUUUCACCAAUUGGGGGCUAUCAUGCUGGAAGCGAUAUGGUUCUUAUUUUGGAUGUUGCUCGAUUCAAAUAUCCCCCUCACUGGGUUCCUCUUGCCCUUCUAUGGGAGGCCAUGGAUUCUGUUGAUGAAGCAACAGGACAGCAUAGGGGGUUCAUGAUUAUUUCAAGACUUCAGAAAUCACCAUCCAUUCUGUACUCUGUGAGUUGUAGGCAUGAGGCUUCGAAUAAUGUUGUAAAAUACCUGACAGAGGAUGUUCCACUGCUUUUGAAUUUAAACGAUGUAGAAGAUGUUAAGAAUGUACUCUCUGUUGUAUUCAAAUCAGCACCUGCUGAUCUGAGAGAGUUCAUCACAUGGGUUGCAGAGGUGCGAAGACAAGAGGAUAGGAGUAUGAUGUUGACAGAAGAGGAAAAACAAAGGCUUUCUCUCAAGGAAGAAGUAUUGAAACAAGUACGAGAGACUGAACUAUGCAAACAUGUGGCCAGAUGGUUGGCCUUUGAAGGUUCAUGUUGUGAAGAUAUGAUUUCUUUAUAUGACCGGGAUACAUUACCUGAAACUUUUGUUAAUAUUUGUUGCCAAGGAGCACAACUUUUGACUGGAAAAGCUGCUUCUUUAGAUGGAUUUUGUUGUAAAGGAACAAACCUGAAACUCAUAAAAUCUGAUGAUGAAAAGCCUGCAACAGUGGUUUCGGGGACUGUAGUUACUGAUGGCAUCCGAGAAAAGGUUGAUGUCCUGGUCCCUUCCUCUCAAACAGAACCUAGGUGUAACUGCAACACUGAUCCAAGCAGUUGCAUAUGGAUGCAUCCAUCAGCAUGUGAUGUCCUAACAGUACUUGUAUUGGCUCUACCUGAGAGUACAUGGUCUGGCAUCAAAGAAGAGAAGCUACGGGAACAAAUUAAAACUCUUGCUUCUACUGACAGUCUCCCAUCUUUGCUUCAAGAAGAGGUUCUGCAUUUGCGAAGGCAGCUCAACUUCCUCAUGACUGACCUCGGUGCUCCAUCUGCUUCGUGAUCUCAGUGUAUCGUCUCCCUCCUCCCUAGUCUCUUGGCAUGCAAGUCCAUAUACUUGUCUUUAAGGCUAUAAGAUUGCAAUAAAAACUCAAGGAAUCCAAGUAGCAUUGGGGGGUGGAGGUGUGAGAUGCAAGCCGUGUGUCGUUGAUUUUGACGGGUACUAAAAUUUUAUAAUCUCAUUAAUAUCAGCCUAGACGGGUCCAAGAAUAGAGAGAGUCAAAAACAGGAAUGA